CACCGUAAUAGGCUCCGUGAUGCAGUAAAAUCACAAGCUAUCCAACGAUCUCCUCUAUCAUUCCUUCUCUGCAGGGGCUGUCCAUCCUCAAGGCCACCUCAUUGUCAUUGGUAGUCACUGCAGCUCCAGCCAUCAUGUCUCCAUGAAAGAUAGAAAGAUGUGUGCCAGCUGAAUUCUACCUCCCAGAAGCCUUACAUAAAACUUCCCCUCACAUCUCAUUGGCCACAACUGGCUCAUGCUAAGUAAGUGGCUUUGAAGAAGCAAGCUGCAAUAAAUCCUAUAGCUUCAAGAAAAUCAAUUCUCCUGACAAGCAGGAGCAGCUGCAGCAGCUGCACUUCCCUCUGGAGGAAACCAGCCUGGGAGAAGAAAGGCCCUAUAGAAUUAUCACGGACUAACACCAAGCAGAAAUAUGAACCUGCUCAAUGACUUUGUGCAUACAUGGCAAAAGUUCGAGUUUUACUUGUUUCUCAAUAUUUACAGAUAUUUUAAAGUAAUAAUUCUGA
rnacentral:lncRNA from 1 species